rnacentral:rRNA from 1 species
GACGAACGCUGGCGGCGUGCUUAACACAUGCAAGUCGAGCGGUAAGGCCCCUUCGGGGGUACACGAGCGGCGAACGGGUGAGUAACACGUGAGCAAUCUGCCCAUCACAUCGGGUUAACUCCGGGAAACCGAAGCUAAUACCGAAUACGACCACCUCCGGCAUCGGAUGGUGGUGGAAAGUUCCGGCGGUGAUGGAUGAGCUCGCGGCCUAUCAGCUUGUUGGUGGGGUAACGGCCCACCAAGGCUUCGACGGGUAGCCGGCCUGAGAGGGUGACCGGCCACACUGGGACUGAGACACGGCCCAGACUCCUACGGGAGGCAGCAGUGGGGAAUAUUGGACAAUGGGCGAAAGCCUGAUCCAGCAACGCCGCGUGAGGGAUGACGGCCUUCGGGUUGUAAACCUCUUUCAGCAGGGACGAAGCGCAAGUGACGGUACCUGCAGAAGAAGCACCGGCCAACUACGUG